rnacentral:rRNA from 1 species
UAGGGAAUCUUCGGCAAUGGACGAAAGUCUGACCGAGCAACGCCGCGUGAGUGAAGAAGGUUUUCGGAUCGUAAAACUCUGUUGGUAGAGAAGAACGUUGGUGAGAGUGGAAAGCUCAUCAAGUGACGGUAACUACCCAGAAAGGGACGGCUAACUACGUGCCAGCAGCCGCGGUAAUACGUAGGUCCCGAGCGUUGUCCGGAUUUAUUGGGCGUAAAGCGAGCGCAGGUGGUUUAUUAAGUCUGGUGUAAAAGGCAGUGGCUCAACCAUUGUAUGCAUUGGAAACUGGUAGACUUGAGUGCAGGAGAGGAGAGUGGAGUUCCAUGUGUAGCGGUGAAAUGCGUAGAUAUAUGGAGGAACACCGGUGGCGAAAGCGGCUCUCUGGCCUGUAACUGACACUGAGGCUCGAAAGCGUGGGGAGCAAACAGGAUUAGAUACCCUGGUAGUCCACGCCGUAAACGAUGAGUGCUAGAUGUAGGGAGCUAUAAGUUCUCUGUAUCGCAGCUAACGCAAUAAGCACUCCGCCUGGGGAGUACGACCGCAAGGUUGAAAC